AAUGAACGCUGGCGGCGUGCCUUACACAUGCAAGUCGAGCGAGGCGGCCCGCAAGGGUCAGUCGAGCGGCGAACAGGUGAGUAACACGUGGAUAACCUGCCCUGAGGCGGGGGAUAACCCGGGGAAACUCGGGCUAAUACCGCAUGAUACCGAGAGGUCAAAGGGGGCUCGCAAGGGCUCUCACCACAGGAGGGGUCCGC
rnacentral:rRNA from 1 species